rnacentral:rRNA from 1 species
UACGGAGGGUGCGAGCGUUGUCCGGAAUCACUGGGCGUAAAGGGCGCGUAGGCGGCUCCGGCAGUCUGUGGUGAAAGCCCGUGGCUCAACCACGGAAUGGCCUUCGAUACUGGUUGGCUUGAGACCGGAAGAGGACAGCGGAACUGCGAGUGUAGAGGUGAAAUUCAUAGAUAUUCGCAAGAACACCAGUGGCGAAGGCGGCUGUCUGGUCCGGUUCUGACGCUGAGGCGCGAAAGCGUGGGGAGCAAACAGG